rnacentral:rRNA from 1 species
AGUGAACGCUGGCGGCAGGCCUAACACAUGCAAGUCGAACGGCAGCACAGUAAGAUCUUGCCCUUACGGUUGGCGACCGGCGGAUGGGUGAGGAGUACAUCGGAAUCUACUUUUUCGUGGGGGAUAACGGAGGGAAACUUACGCUAAUACCUCAUACGACCAACCGGUGAAAGCAGGGGAUCUUCGCACCUUGCGCGAUUGAAUGAGCCGAUGUCGGAUUAGCUAGUUGGCGGGGUAAGGGCACACCAAGGCGACGAUCCGUAGCUGGUCUGAGAGGAUGAUCGGCCACACUGGAACUGAGACACGGUCCAGACUCCUACGGGAGGCAGCAGUGGGGAAUAUUGGACAAUGGGCGCAAGCCUGAUCCAGCCAUACCGCGUGGGUGAAGAAGGCCUUCGGGUUGUAAAGCCCUUUUGUUGGGAAAGAAAAGCAGCAGGUUAAUACCCCGCUGUUCUGACGGUACCCAAAGAGUAAGCACCGGCUAACUUCGUG